ensembl:lncRNA
AAUCUCAGUCUUGUAAAUCGAAACUGAACGUUUGAGUCUGUCCUGUGAUAAGAUCAUGUUGUAAUUAACGGGUGGGACAUGUCCCACUCCUCAGCACACGAGCACUUUACACACGAGACUGUUUGAGAACACGAAUGUUUAUGGCUUAUCUAUGUAUUUAACUGCCAUUAAUAAUUUUCGGACCUAAUAAUACAUUUUAUUAAAGCAUACACACACACAAACACUCCUAUCCUGUCCCACCCACUUCUUCAAAGUUAACUACGCCACUGAAAAAGACCCAUUUCUGAACUCUGAACCAAAGCUUACAACUUCUGUCUUAUUUAUCGGUCAG